GGACGUCUAGCUCAGCCGGUUAGAGCAUCUCGCUUACACCGAGAAGGUCGAGGGUUCGAAUCCCCCGGCGUCCACCA
rnacentral:tRNA from 1 species